CUCCAUCAACUCCAACACUUCACCCAUUCCUUCCAUUUCGCACCAGCAAUCACAAAGAGAAGGAAGACUUGGCUUAACUACUUUGCCAAGAUUUCAAGCUGCUCCAGUCCAGUAGUACCCCAACACUCGAAGCUAGAGUUUAUUGGGUGAAAAACCGUGCAUGAGGUCGAGCGCAAGAAUAAGAGCUCGUCAAGGAGUCACUAAUCUGUAGCAAAGCUUUGCUAUCAGGUUGAGCAGCUGCCGAUGGUGAUGAAGUGACGAGCGGGACUCUUUUGUCUUAUUAUGUAUUAAUGAACUCUAGGGUUACAUGUCUUCAUACAUGUAAUCAGAACCUUAUUCCGCUGCGUACUCAGAAGUUUUAUGUUAUUUUGGACAAGUCGGAGUUAUCCGAACUUGUUAGUUAUUUGAGUCUAUACGACAAAAACUCUGUUAUAUUAUAGAUAUCUAUGUUGUUAACAAUGAUGAAAUA